UGGGCGUAAGCGCGCGCAGGCGGUUCUUUAAGUCUGGUGUUUAAACCCGACGCUCAACUUCGGGUCGCACUGGAAACUGGGGAACUUGAGUGCAGAAGAGGAGAGUGGAAUUCCACGUGUAGCGGUGAAAUGCGUAGAUAUGUGGAGGAACACCACUGGCGAAGGCGACUCUCUGGGCUGUAACUGACGCUGAGGCGCGAAAGCGUGGGGAGCAAACAGGAUUAAAUACCCUGGUAGUCCACCCCGCCAACGAUGAAUGCUAGGUGUUAGGGGUUU
rnacentral:rRNA from 1 species